AGCGAGGGUGCUUGCACCUUAGCUUAGCGGCGGACGGGUGAGUAAUGCUUAGGAAUCUGCCUAUUAGUGGGGGACAACAUUCCGAAAGGAAUGCUAAUACCGCAUACGCCCUACGGGGGAAAGCAGGGGAUCUUCGGACCUUGCGCUAAUAGAUGAGCCUAAGUCGGAUUAGCUAGUUGGUGGGGUAAAGGCCUACCAAGGCGACGAUCUGUAGCGGGUCUGAGAGGAUGAUCCGCCACACUGGGACUGAGACACGGCCCAGACUCCUACGGGAGGCAGCAGUGGGGAAUAUUGGACAAUGGGCGGAAGCCUGAUCCAGCCAUGCCGCGUGUGUGAAGAAGGCCUUUUGGUUGUAAAGCACUUUAAGCGAGGAGGAGGCUACUUAGAUUAAUACUCUAGGAUAGUGGACGUUACUCGCAGAAUAAGCACCGGCUAACUCUGUGCCAGCAGCCGCGGUAAUACAGAGGGUGCGAGCGUUAAUCGGAUUUACUGGGCGUAA
rnacentral:rRNA from 1 species